UACGUAGGGGGCAAGCGUUGUCCGGAUUUAUUGGGCGUAAAGAGCGUGUAGGCGGCCAAACAGGUCCGUUGUGAAAACUGGAGGCUCAACUUCCAGACGUCGACGGAAACCGUGUGGCUAGAGUCCGGAAGAGGAGAGUGGAAUUCCUGGUGUAGCGGUGAAAUGCGCAGAUAUCAGGAAGAACACCAAUGGCGAAGGCAGCUCUCUGGGACGGUACUGACGCUGAGACGCGAAAGCGUGGGGAGCGAACAGG
rnacentral:rRNA from 1 species